rnacentral:rRNA from 1 species
CUGGGGGAGUACGGUCGCAAGGUUGAAACUCAAAGGAAUGACAGGGGGCCCGCACAAGCGGUGGAGCAUGUGGUUUAAUUUGAAGCAACGCGAAGAACCUUACCAGGUCUUGACAUCCUCUGACAACCCUAGAGAUAGGGCUUUCCCUUCGGGGACAGAGUGACAGGUGGUGCAUGGUUGUCGUCAGCUCGUGUCGUGAGAUGUUGGGUUAAGUCCCGCAACGAGCGCAACCCUUGAUCUUAGUUGCCAGCAUUCAGUUGGGCACUCUAAGGUGACUGCCGGUGACAAACCGGAGGAAGGUGGGGAUGACGUCAAAUCAUCAUGCCCCUUAUGACCUGGGCUACACACGUGCUACAAUGGACAGAACAAAGGGCUGCAAGACCGCAAGGUUUAGCCAAUCCCAUAAAUCUGUUCUCAGUUCGGAUCGCAGUUUGCAACUCGACUGCGUGAAGCUGGAAUCGCUAGUAAUCGCGGAUCAGCAUGCCGCGGUGAAUACGUUCCCGGGCCUUGUACACACCGCCCGUCACACCACGAGAGUUUGCAACACCCGAAGUCGGUGAGGUAACCUUUAUGAGCCAGCCGCCGAAGGUGGACAAAAGAUUU